rnacentral:rRNA from 1 species
GCCCAGACUCCUACGGGAGGCAGCAGUGGGGAAUAUUGCACAAUGGGGAAACCCUGAUGCAGCGACGCCGCGUGAGUGAAGAAGUAAUUCGCUAUGUAAAGCUCUAUCAGCAGGGAAGAAAAUGACGGUACCUGAGUAAGAAGCCCCGGCUAACUACGUGCCAGCAGCCGCGGUAAUACGUAGGGGGCAAGCGUUAUCCGGAUUUACUGGGUGUAAAGGGAGCGUAGACGGCAGUGCAAGUCUGGAGUGAAAGGCGGGGGCUCAACCCCCGGACUGCUCUGGAAACUGUACGGCUGGAGUGCAGGAGAGGUAAGUGGAAUUCCUAGUGUAGCGGUGAAAUGCGUAGAUAUUAGGAGGAACACCAGUGGCGAAGGCGGCUUACUGGACUGUAACUGACGUUGAGGCUCGAAAGCGUGGGGAGCAAACAGGAUUAGAUACCCCAGUA